GACGAACGCUGACGGCCGUGGCCGUAACACAUGCGAAGUCGAGCGGGGACUUGGGUGCGUUGCGACCUAGGGGUUCUAGCGGCGGACGGGUGAGUAACGCGUGAGCAACCUGCCUCAAACUGGGGGAUAACGCAUCGAAAGAUGUGCUAAUACCGCGUAAGACCACGCUACCACAUGGUAGUGGGGUCAAAGGAGCAAUCCGGUUUGAGAUGGGCUCGCGUCCGAUUAGCUAGUUGGCGGGAUAACAGCCCACCAAGGCGACGAUCGGUAGCCGACCUGAGAGGGUGAUCGGCCACAUUGGGACUGAGAUACGGCCCAG
rnacentral:rRNA from 1 species